rnacentral:rRNA from 1 species
CAAGUCGAGCGAACAGAUAAGGAGCUUGCUCCUUUGACGUUAGCGGCGGACGGGUGAGUAACACGUGGGUAACCUACCUAUAAGACUGGGAUAACUUCGGGAAACCGGAGCUAAUACCGGAUAACAUUUGGAACCGCAUGGUUCUAAAGUGAAAGAUGGUUUUGCUAUCACUUAUAGAUGGACCCGCGCCGUAUUAGCUAGUUGGUAAGGUAACGGCUUACCAAGGCAACGAUACGUAGCCGACCUGAGAGGGUGAUCGGCCACACUGGAACUGAGACACGGUCCAGACUCCUACGGGAGGCAGCAGUAAGGAAUCUUCCGCAAUGGGCGAAAGCCUGACGGAGCAACGCCGCGUGAGUGAUGAAGGGUUUCGGCUCGUAAAACUCUGUUAUUAGGGAAGAACAUACUGUGUAAGUAACUGUGCACAUCUUGACGGUACCUAAUCAGAAAGCCACGGCUAGCUACGUGCCAACGAGCCGCGGUCAUACGUAGGUGGCAAGCGUUAUCCGGAAUUAUUGGGCGUUAAGCGCGCGUAGUCGGUUUCUUAAGUCUGAUGUGAAAGCCCACGGCUCAACCGUGGAGGGUCAUUGGAAACUGGGAAACUUGAGUGCAGAAGAGGAAAGUGGAAUUCCAUGUGUAGCGGUGAUAUGCGCUAGUAGAUAUGGAGGUACACCAGUGGCGAAGGCGACUUUCUGGU